AGGAGAGCCUAGGGAUGCGGGAGCGAGAGGGAAGCUCAGCCUAUACCCUCCCACUCCACAGGCAAGAGAUGUCGAUGCAAAUUCAACCAACAGCAGAGAACUGGGGAACCCGACGAAGAGGAGGGAACUUUCCGCAGCUCCAUCCGCCGUCUGUCAUCCCGCAGGCGGUAGAACCUCCACCUGACUCCAGGAAACUCAGCCAGAGCCCCCUUAGCACCUGACACCUCUCCCCACCCAGAUGCUCGCCUGUGACCACCCCCAGCGUUCCCUGCAUCAGCCCUGCCUUUCGGACACCCCUUGCUGCUCAGACCUCUAAUAAAACUCGGUUUUCCUUCUUG
rnacentral:lncRNA from 1 species